rnacentral:rRNA from 1 species
GACGAACGCUGGCGGCGUGCCUAAUACAUGCAAGUAGGACGCAGUUGCGAACGGGUGAGUAACGCGUAGGUACCUACCUAUUAGUGGGGGAUAACUAUUGGAAACGAUAGCUAAUACCGCAUACUAGUAGAUGGACCUGCGUUGUAUUAGCUAGUAGGUCGGGUAAUGGCCUACCUAGGCAACGAUACAUAGCCGACCUGAGAGGGUGAUCGGCCAAACUGGGACUGAGACACGGCCCAAACUCCUACGGGAGGCAGCAGUAGGGAAUCUUCGGGAAUGGGGGGAAACCUGACCGAGCAACGCCGCGUGAGUGAAGAAGGGUUUCGGAUCGUAAAGCUCUGGUGUUAAGGAAGCGGUACUUAACCAGAAAGGGACGGCUAACUACGUGCCAGCCGCCGCGGUAAUUC